rnacentral:rRNA from 1 species
CUCCCGCAGCAGGGAAUUUUCGUCAAUGGGCGCAAGCCUGAACGAGCAAUGCCGCGUGAACGAGGAAGGUCUUCGGAUCGUAAAGUUCUGUUGAAGGGGAAAAAGAGCGGAGAGAGGAAAUGGUCUCCGAUUGAUAUUACCCUUCGAGGAAGUCACGGCUAACUACGUGCCAGCAGCCGCGGUAAUACGUAGGUGGCGAGCGUUAUCCGGAAUGAUUGGGCGUAAAGGGUGCGUAGGCGGCCUGCUAAGUCUGGAGUGAAAGGUACCGGCUCAACCGGUACAGGCUCUGGAAACUGGCGGGCUAG